GACGAACGCUGGCGGCGUGCUUAACACAUGCAAGUCGAACGGAAAGGCCCUGCUUUUGUGGGGUGCUCGAGUGGUGAACGGGUGAGUAACACGUGAGUAACCUGCCCUUGACUUUGGGAUAACUUCAGGAAACUGGGGCUAAUACCGGAUAGGAGCUCCUGCUGCAUGGUGGGGGUUGGAAAGUUUCGGCGGUUGGGGUUGGACUCGCGGCUUAUCAGCUUGUUGGUGGGGUAGUGGCUUACCAAGGCUUUGACGGGUAGCCGGCCUGAGAGGGUGACCGGCCACAUUGGGACUGAGAUACGGCCCAGACUCCUACGGGAGGCAGCAGUGGGGAAUAUUGCACAAUGGGCGGAAGCCUGAUGCAGCAACGCCGCGUGCGGGAUGACGGCCUUCGGGUUGUAAACCGCUUUCGCCUGUGACGAAGCGUGAGUGACGGUAAUGGGUAAAGAAGCACCGGCUAACUACGUG
rnacentral:rRNA from 1 species